UACUAUGCCAAAUAAGAUGUGUGGCUUUAAUUAUCAGCGACUUCGAUGAAAUUUUGGUACCGUUUAUUGUAACAAUUACACGUAUUAUGUUGUAAUAAUCCGUAAACAUUCCAGACAAGUGCGUACAAUUUUUCCGGUGUUCGAUUGACCACUCGAAUUCUUGAUUUAAUCGUCUGCCAUUUUUUCAGAACGAGUUGUACGUUUGUGCCCAGGUACCAACUACGAUAACUGCAAUAUCAAAUCUUGCAAAGCAGCACCUUGGGAAAAUAAAUGUCGCUCUCGAGCACCAGCGUUUCUGUAAAUCAUACCAGCAGAUAAUCGAUGCGAAAGGAUGGGGUGACUUCUUGGAAAUCGUUCCAUGUGAAGAUAUCUAACGUUUCUUUAUUAUGUCAGAACAUGCACAUCGGCAUGCAAAUAUAAACAAUAUAGGGCUAGAUAUUUAUACUCCAUGUCGCAUUUGCCCGCAUUACGGGGAGAUGUUGCAGAGACAUCGAUUGGAUAAUUGGCUCGGUAUAAGCUUAAUAAGACAAUACCUGUUACAUGUAUAAUCAAAUAAUUAUAGACGUUUUCAAGAACAAUUACUUGAUACUUAUUAAGCUGAUAAAAUGCAAUUCAUUUUUUAGAUGAAAACGAUAUUCCUGUCGCGUUGUUUAAGGCAGCGACGGCAAACAAUACCAAGAAGACUGGGGCAGAAACUUCUCUAAUAAGCUGGAGUUUUGUCCGAUUUUAAAAGGAUGAGUGUUUACAUAUCAUGUUUUGAUAUUGAUGGAGAUUCUUGUGAAGAGAUCGAAAAAGAGCUACAAAAACAUCAUAUGAACAUCAUACGACAUGAAAACACACCAGGAAGAUUCCUGCUCUCAGAUGGUGACAAUCGAGAAGGAUGGAUAAUAGUUAUUGUAUCGAAAGAAUCGCUGAAAAGCGAACUGCUUUCUUUCAAUCUCAUAAAAUGCCUGAUUGCCGAUGUUGAUGACGGCAGAUUGAGGAUCCUGCUUGUAUUACGCAGCGGUGUGAAUAUCUCAGAAGUACCAAUAUGUAUUCGUUGGGUUACAGUAUUCAGCGAAGAUGAGAAAUCCUACAAAAACUGGAUUGUAAGAACAAUUUUUUAGGUAAUUGGCAUCAGUGUAUGAGCCAUCAUAAUUAAAGCUUCAAACAGCCUUUCAACUUUACUUGACUUUUGAUUGAAUGUAAAAUCAUGCUUUUUUAAAUUUCGUGCCGAUAUUAUAAAGCGCAUAUAUCGUUUCUGCAAAUCUUGGAUCCGACAAAACAUGUAUUGUAUAUAUGUAUUGUAUACAGUGAAUAUCAUAUAUAGAUACAGUUUCUGUAUACAUACAGGCGACAGUAAAUGGGUAUGUCACGUACAUUUGAUACGAUAAACAUUUCGAAAUAAAAAAAUGUAUACACAAUUAUGCACGCAGUCCAACUACUUUAUAAUAAAUACCAGUGCAUACUUUGAGACUUGCUCUGUGAAAAGCGAGUUUAAUGCGUGUUCUUACAGUGUCGUCAAAUAUUAGCCAGUGCAGUACGCACAUGCUUAUCAGGGACGACACACUCCGCCUCAACUCGAGCUUUGUUCAGAAGAGAUUUUAUCUAAACGAGCGAUUUAAUAACAGUAGAAACUGUCGACACUCUACGCACAUGCAUUUAACCCCGUUUUCUCAGAGUGCGACUCAUGUAUAUGUGGUUUUUACAGGAGAACCAGUAGAUAUUGGCAGUGCACUUCCAGCAGGGGAUGUUAUGUUGGGCCUAUGUCUUGAACUACCUGAAUAUUGUGCUGACGACCAGCAGUCACAUCGUACUGUGAAGAUCCGGGAAGUCCAGACGCCAGCCAUUCGAUGUCAGUAUCAGAUACGCCAUUCUUCGUUAAAACGUUUACAAUUCCCUGCAUACUCUAUCCUCGUUUCCCUGGUGAGAAACUGUCCUCUCCAUCGACUCCGUCCGUAAAGCAUCUCCUGUCAACGCCGGCAUAUGCAAUACUGUCAUCAUUUUUGUUUAUACUUUAAUCUAUCGAGAAUAAUAGCCAGAGUUGAUCAUGUAUCUAUGGACAUAAGUACACAGGUAUGGUCUAUUAGUAUUCGAAAAUGCCACGUUGAGCGUGAUUUGUCAUCCAUAUUGAAAAGAACAUUUUUCUGUUCUUAACAACUACGCUGUCAAUAGAAAAAACAAAAAUGAGAAACCCUCAAAAAGUUGUCUGGUAUUUUUCAUUUAGCAGACCUUCGUACGAGUUCAUAUUUGCAGUCGAUGACAAAGAAACAUAUACUUAAAAACUAGGUAUCGAUUUUAACAUGGUGUUCGUAGAGCAAGUUAAUGCGGUUAUCACCAUUGAAACCUUGUCAAUUUUAUUGUUUAUACCAUUUAACCAUGUGUAUACCAAGUGUGUCUGUAAAUACAUCUAUAAUAAUUUCGUACUAUUCUCCCUUUACUUGAAUUAUUGUUUUU